rnacentral:lncRNA from 1 species
AAACUAAAACCCAGUUAGUUAUUAAGUUACCUCAGAACUGCAGCGCACAAACCUGAGCAAGUUCUGAGGCAACUUUGGUGAGACUUUUUUCUCUAAAGCUAUUAACAGGCGAGAGAGACCCAGGAAAAUAGUGGGGGCCAGAAGGGAAGGAGAGAAAAGAAUUCACGGUGAGCCUUCCUAUUUGAAAAAGAAGCAUUGUAGGCAAGCUCACACCUGAAUGAGUCAAGAAAACGUUAUGAAAUAUCGUCCUGAUUCAGGCAAAAUGGCAGUCAGAGGCCCAGAUGGGUUUGUGGUGCUUUGAGGACAAGGCUUCGGUAGGAGGUUAUACUAGGCCUGAGAGCUUGAGUUCUAUGUAGAUCGACUUGGGCUCAGAUGAUCUAGGCUAGGAAUGCCUGAGCUUUAUUUGCUGUUCAUUCUCCUGGAACAAGUGGGCUACUCAAGGAACUUUGAGACUGCACCAAGAUGGGUUUGCCACUGAAACAAGAGGUCAUGGGACUGUAUUGUGUGAGAUACAGGUGUGUCCAGGUGCAACCGUUGCAGCACUGAAGUAAAGGGUCCCAGGUGCC